AAAUAUCACUUCUGAUCUGAAGCCAACCAUGGAAUACAUUAAAGCAAAAGGGAUCUGGCUGAGGAAGCUGUAGACAAUUGAGAAAAAUAAAAGGCAUGGAGAUAUAUGGCCUUCUGGCACCAGUGAAAGCAGCAUGAGCCAGGAUUUAUGGCAUGUGGUCAGAACAGGAUAACUGGAUUUUCUUCUCAGGUGUACCAGCACUAUCCUGUGCUCAUCCCUCCCCUUCUUCCUCUCCUGAAGUAAUUCCUGGAAGAGAAGCCAAGAAAAAGUUCCUUAGGAUAAGGCUGUGCCAUGCUAAAAGGAACUUUCAAGGAAUCACAAUUCCUGAAAGCAAUUAUCUGCAUAUGUGUGAAGAUACACAACCAAAGCCCACCACAACAAAGGCAGACUCCCUGAGUUGACUGCGGUAGUUAUCCAAUGCUACAUGCUAACAGGCACAACGCUAUCAGCGACUUCUGUGCAAAAAACUUCCUGAGGGAGCUUGCAAUAAAAUAACUAGGUAAAUGCCA
rnacentral:lncRNA from 1 species